AACAUUUAGCAAUGGAUCUCUUGGCUCUCGCAUCGAUGAAGAACGCAGCAAAUUGCGAAAAUUAAUGUGCAUUGCAGUACGUGAAUCAUCGAGUCUUUGAACGCAACUUGCACUCUAGGUUUGCCUAGAGUAUGCCUAUUUGAGUAUCGGUCAACCCCAGUCGAGUCCCCAGGGUCUUUGGAUCCUUGGACUCGGACCUGUUGAGUCGUGCGCGCAACCCAUUUGGGCGCUGACUUGAAUCAAACUGAUCGGGCCUAUGCGCGCCGCGCCUGGCUCUGACGUGAUAGUGUUGUGUGACAACUCUCACCUCGUCAGCUCUUCUCCCGCUUGGGAGACCAGACGCGGCAUCACUGCUAGUCACCCAGUCACCCACCCCACACACACCAAUCUCGAUCUCAAAUUAGGUAGGACUACCCGCUGAAUUUAAGCAUAUCAAUAAGCGGAGGCU
rnacentral:misc_RNA from 1 species